rnacentral:pre_miRNA from 9 species
UCUCGAUAGCGUAAAAGUUAAUUCCAAAGUUGUACAGAGUUGGAACGUUUGCCCACGUUUGCCGCUAGGGGCGCUGUUGCAACUGCAUACUACUAUAAGUUAACUGUUACGCUAUCGA